AUGUACAGCAUGCCAGAUGCAUGGAAUCUGCUGAUGUCCAAGCUUGCCGACAUGAUCAUCGUGUACGUGAAAGCGCAGAUUAAGGCAGGCG
rnacentral:tRNA from 1 species